rnacentral:rRNA from 1 species
UACGGAGGGUGCGAGCGUUGUUCGGAAUCACUGGGCGUAAAGGGCGUGUAGGCGGUCCACUAAGUCUGAUGUAAAAGCCCGGGGCUCACCCCCGGAAGUGCAUUGGAAACUGGUGGACUCGAGUCCCGGAGAGGAAGGUGGAAUUCCUGGUGUAGCGGUGAAAUGCGUAGAUAUCAGGAGGAAUACCGGUGGCGAAGGCGGCCUUCUGGACGGUGACUGACGCUGAGACGCGAAAGCGUGGGGAGCAAACAGG